GCUAUUGCUGGAGUAGUUACAAACACUCAUCAUUAAUAAUGAACGUGUAAUGCUAAAAAGUAAUGAUGUACAGUAAUGCAGUAAUGACUAGCGUUUGAGCAGAAGUGUCAUUACUUAGUAAUGACACUUUUAAUGAUCGUGUAAGGGCCGCUAGUAAUAACACUUUUAAUGAUCGUGUAAGGGCCGCUAAUGUCAGUCACCAGCUCGGCACAGCUUCUCGUGCACACUCUGCCUUCGGCCUUAGUUGCGAGAAGCUUUAGAAACAAUAUAGCUGAUGCGUUUCUUGAAUGUCAGUUGCUCAUCGAGAAGAAUAGCAAGAUCAUUACCGCACGUCAUCCGGCCUAUCGGAGAUCCUUCCAAAAGAAAAGCUUCGGGAGUAAUAGAAUAUCUAAACGUUAUCAGCAAACGAUAGAUGAGUGCCCUCCAGAGAAAAGUUGACGUCGUUGAAGUACAGUAAGAAUAUUAAAGGCCCGCAUUCCGUGCAACUAACUACACUGAUACAUCCAACGCUGGUUCGCUCGAAAUGUAUUGUUCGGAUUACUGACCAGAUAUCUACAUCUAUUUGCAUAAUAUCAAAUGAAAGACGUCCAUUAAGGCGAGACAAAGUGAAAAAUUUUAUUUAAAUUCUUUGUAGUGAAAUUCUAGCAACAUGGCGGUUGUAGUUCUGUUUUGUUCGGCCGACUAAAAAUUACAAUUAUAAAAUUACAGCUUCAAAGCUACAGUCCUUUUACGCCUGACAUUGCUGACAAACUUCUGAUAGAACUCCAACGGAGGUGAAGUUCAUUCAACCAUUCAGUUGUCGACAUAGUAGGAUGUCGCGUAACUCACUAACUUCAGUUUCUGCCGGUUGUCACAACGCGGGAGUGGAAGCCUCAUCGGUCAAAUCUAUGGCUGAAAGCUAUCAGCCGCCAAAUACCACAUGGUCGGUAGGCACUGCGGAAUACGAGGAACUUCCUUUCAAACCAUACAAGUAAAGACCAAUCUCGUACUCAGCACAGCAACAAUGCAUGCGUACUGACAGUCAAUAAGAUAGCUUAAAGUGAUGACCGCUAACAAUAGUUUUAGUUCCACAGGAGAGAUUCGGAGGAAGCUUUGAUAAAACGAACUGCAAAACAAAUACAAUCAAUUAAACAUAUAUCAAUUAAACAUGUAGGUAUCAUUUUA